rnacentral:rRNA from 1 species
GACGAACGCUGGCGGCGUGCUUAACACAUGCAAGUCGAACGGAAAGGCCCUGCUUUUGUGGGGUGCUCGAGUGGCGAACGGGUGAGUAACACGUGAGUAACCUGCCCUUGACUUUGGGAUAACUUCAGGAAACUGGGGCUAAUACCGGAUAGGAGCUCCUGCUGCAUGGUGGGGGUUGGAAGGUUUCGGCGGUUGGGGAUGGACUCGCGGCUUAUCAGCUUGUUGGUGGGGUAGUGGCUUACCAAGGCUUUGACGGGUAGCCGGCCUGCGAGGGUGACCGGCCACAUUGGGACUGAGAUACGGCCCAGACUCCUACGGGAGGCAGCAGUGGGGAAUAUUGCACAAUGGGCGGAAGCCUGAUGCAGCAACGCCGCGUGCGGGAUGACGGCCUUCGGGUUGUAAACCGCUUUCGCCUGUGACGAAGCGUGAGUGACGGUAAUGGGUAAAGAAGCACCGGCUAACUACGUG